rnacentral:ncRNA from 1 species
AUCAGGUGUCGCAAGACUUAAUAGGGAAGCCGGUAAAGUCCGGCGCGGUCCCGCCACUGUAACAGCGAGUGAUGCUGCUUCGUGGAUGCCACUUUUGAGGGUAUCCCGGUCACUGAGAAAUGAUUUUCUUGGGAAGGCGCUGCAAUCAUGAUGAACUGGAGCCAGGAGAACUGCCUGAUUGA